AGUGAACGCUGGCGGUAGGCCUAACACAUGCAAGUCGAACGGCAGCAUAGUAAGAGCUUGCUCUUACGGGUGGCGAGUGGCGGACGGGUGAGGAAUACAUCGGAAUCUACUUUUUCGUGGGGGAUAACGUAGGGAAACUUACGCUAAUACCGCAUACGACCUACGGGUGAAAGCAGGGGAUCUUCGGACCUUGCGCGAUUGAAUGAGCCGAUGUCGGAUUAGCUAGUUGGCGGGGUAAAGGCCCACCAAGGCGACGAUCCGUAGCUGGUCUGAGAGGAUGAUCAGCCACACUGGAACUGAGACACGGUCCAGACUCCUACGGGAGGCAGCAGUGGGGAAUAUUGGGCAAUGGGCGCAAGCCUGAUCCAGCCAUACCGCGUGGGUGAAGAAGGCCUUCGGGUUGUAAAGCCCUUUUGUUGGGAAAGAAAAGCAGCAGGUUAAUACCCCGCUGUUCUGACGGUACCCAAAGAAUAAGCACCGGCUAACUUCGUG
rnacentral:rRNA from 1 species